GAGCGUGUAGUUCAGUGGUAGAACGCUGUCCUGAUAAGACAGAGGUCGAUGGUCCUAUUCCAUCCACGCUCA
rnacentral:tRNA from 1 species